CCUACGGGUGGCAGCAGUGGGGAAUAUUGGACAAUGGGGGGAACCCUGAUCCAGCCAUGCCGCGUGUGUGAAGAAGGCCCUCGGGUUGUAAAGCACUUUCAGUGAGGAAGAACGCCUGGUGGUUAAUACCCAUCAGGAAAGACAUCACUCACAGAAGAAGCACUGGCUAACUCCGUGCCAGCAGCCGCGGUAAUACGGAGGGUGCGAACGUUAAUCGGAAUUACUGGGCGUAAAGCGCGCGUAGGUGGCUUGAUAAGCCGGUUGUGAAAGCCCCGGGCUCAACCUGGGAACGGCAUCCGGAACUGUCAAGCUAGAGUGCAGGAGAGGAAGGUAGAAUUCCCGGUGUAGCGGUGAAAUGCGUAGAGAUCGGGAGGAAUACCAGUGGCGAAGGCGGCCUUCUGGACUGACACUGACACUGAGGUGCGAAAGCGUGGGUAGCAAACAGGAUUAGAUACCCGAGUAGUC
rnacentral:rRNA from 1 species